UACGGAGGGUGCAAGCGUUAAUCGGAAUUACUGGGCGUAAAGCGCACGCAGGUGGCUGAGUCAGUCGAUUGUGAAAGCCCUGGGCUUAACCUGGGAAUUGCAGUCGAUACUACUCAGCUAGAGUAUGGGAGAGGGCAGUGGAAUUCCCGGUGUAGCGGUGAAAUGCGCAGAUAUCGGGAAGAACACCCGUGGCUAAGGCGGCUCUCUAGUACGGUACUGACGCUGAGACGCGAAAGCGUGGGGAGCGAACAGG
rnacentral:rRNA from 1 species